AUUUUUUUCUUUCCCUUUUCCUUCUUUUUUUCUUCUUCUUUCUCGUUUCUCUCUGCUCCUCCUCCAAAAACACCCCCUCCACUUCUUUCCUCGAUUUCAUUUACUUAGGGCGUGAUUUCGAACAAAGCCCAAGAAUUAAAGUUGUUAUAUGGAGCGCGGGCUUUCUAUCCAUCCAAAAAAAAUCAUGAUCGGACCUCAUGGAGCUACGGUUGACUUGGUCAAAGGGUCGGGUUUUGCUCAAAACCUUUGAGGUAUGAUUCAAGGAUGUUGGCAUGGAGUGCUUUGUUGUGCAUUUGUGACCAAACCUUUAAAAGGUAUUCAAGAAGGAUUUCAUAGCACAAGAUCUGAAAGAGCAUUUUUAGGAAAGAUAUUAUUUAUAAAUUGUAAUAAUAUUUCUGUAGGAUACUGGUAUUUUGAUGACUUGGGGCCUUCGAGUUGGAAAUGUAAUAUUUGAAUUUUAUUUGAGAACAGUGAACAGAGAGGUCUUUUGGGGUAUUAUUUAUAUUACAGCGAGGACUUUAUUUAUUAAAAGUGUUUAUUAUUUAUGUUGAAAA